CACUGGUCGAGAGCUGUUGCCACUCUCCUGAUGAGUCUAAGCAAGACGAAACCAAUG
rnacentral:hammerhead_ribozyme from 2 species